rnacentral:lncRNA from 10 species
ACAGAAACACACACACACAGGGAGAAAGCCAUGUGAAGACAGGCAGAGACUGGGGUAAUGCAGCUACAAGGGAAUGUCAGAGAUUGCUAGCAAACACCAGAAGCUGGAAGAGGCAAUUAAGGAUUGCUCCCUAGAGCUUUUAGAGGGAGGACGGCUCUGCCACCUGCCUUGUUCUUGGACUCCUAGCCUCCAGAAUUAGGUCACCUGUUGGGCAAUAUCACCAUAGACUGAAUACAGAAGCAGAUAUUAGCCUCCAGCCUCCUGCUCAUCUGGACACUAGAGAGAGUGGAUAUUCUAAAAGCAGAAAUCUUGACACUUAAGCCAAAAAGCCCUCCCAUUCAGAAGGAUGUAUGGAUUUUUCAUACUUGCAUCUGCGGGACGCAGAUGGUCCGAGUCACAAGUAAAGAAUGUCUGGUGGUCUUGGGCAGAGAGAUUCAUGUCAUAAGGAAUCACUAACACCUUGACUCCAGAUCAUGGCUUGAAACACACUGGAAUGGGAUUUUGCAUAAAAGAAGAAAGCUCAGGAAUGAUAAAUUUACACACCAUGGAUCUAGAAGGGAGUCUAUAACCCCAGAAUCACCAUUAUUUUGGGUGAUCCAUAUGGCUAUCAAUUAAAGUGCUACCUGAGUGCUGUUCAACUUCUUGAGAUGGAUGAAAAAGGAAUGAAAGGAGACAUAGCAAUCUUCAACUCCGCUCCUUUACUUUUGAAUAAGAGGUGAUGGAAGGCAAGGUCAGAGAGAUCUGGGUUCAAAUCUCAUGAUUUAACUGCUAUAUAACCUUGGCCAAAUUAUUUAAACUUUGUGUCUGUUUUUACUUAGCAAUAUAAAGACACUGGUCAUACCCACCACUCAGAAUUUCAAUCAGAACUAAAUGAAAUAAUAUAUGCAAAGUGCUUAAUAUAGUACACCUGGCAUGGAGUGGUAACUCAAUAAAUAGAUCUUUUGUUAUAA